GUUAUUAGAUGUGAUUACUUAGGGUAAGCGUGCUAAUGACAAAUGAAUCAGAAUAUUAAAGGAUGUUAUCACAGUUUUGUGAGCAGGGACCUAUUCCA
rnacentral:ncRNA from 1 species